rnacentral:rRNA from 1 species
AUUGAACGCUGGCGGCAGGCCUAACACAUGCAAGUCGAGCGGAUGAAGCGAGCUUGCUCCUGGAUUCAGCGGCGGACGGGUGAGUAAUGCCUAGGAAUCUGCCUGGUAGUGGGGGAUAACGUCCGGAAACGGGCGCUAAUACCGCAUACGUCCUGAGGGAGAAAGUGGGGGAUCUUCGGACCUCACGCUAUCAGAUGAGCCUAGGUCGGAUUAGCUAGUUGGUGGGGUAAAGGCCUACCAAGGCGACGAUCCGUAACUGGUCUGAGAGGAUGAUCAGUCACACUGGAACUGAGACACGGUCCAGACUCCUACGGGAGGCAGCAGUGGGGAAUAUUGGACAAUGGGCGAAAGCCUGAUCCAGCCAUGCCGCGUGUGUGAAGAAGGUCUUCGGAUUGUAAAGCACUUUAAGUUGGGAGGAAGGGCAGUAAGUUAAUACCUUGCUGUUUUGACGUUACCAACAGAAUAAGCACCGGCUAACUUCGUG